rnacentral:lncRNA from 1 species
AAUGAUGAACACAAAGGGAAAGAGGAGAGGCACCCGAUAUAUGUUCUCUAGGCCUUUUAGAAAACAUGGAGUUGUUCCUUUGGCCACAUAUAUGUGAAUCUAUAAGAAAGGUGAUAUUGUAGACGUCAAGGGAAUGGGCACUGUUCAAAAAGGAAUGCCCCACAAGUGUUACCACGGCAAAACUGGAAGAGUUUUACCCAGCAUGCUGUUGGCAUUGUUGUAAACAAACAAGUUAAGGGCAAGAUUCUUGCCAAGAGAAUUAAUGUGCGUAUUGAGCACAUUAAGCACUCUAAGAGCCGAGAUAGCUUCCUGAAAUGUGUGAAGGAAAAUGAUCAGAAAAAGAAAGAAGCCAAAGAGAAAGGUACCUGGGUUCAACUAAAGUGCCAGCCUGCUCCACCCAGAGAAGCACACUUUGUGAGAACCAAUGGGAAGGAGCCUGAGCUGCUGGAACCUAUUCCCUAUGAAUUCAUGGCAU